CAUCAUUUCAGGAUGAGCAUUUCGUGUCAAGUGGAUUCAAGGAACAGUGUAAAGGAUCCAUGGCCUCAGUCACCAUGAAGACCCUCCCAAGAGCCAACCGUCCUGGGCCCAUAUAAAUGAAUGGAGACAUGGAAGUCACCCUUACAAGGCCUAGAACCUGACAGAGCAUACAAGACAGAAGCCCAAAUAACUAAGAACAGGAAGCUAAAGUCCCCUUGUAGGUCACUCAUGGGGAAUUGCCUAGACCCUGGGUCUUGUACCUCGUGCCAGCAGGGAGUGGCGCCGUCUUGUGAAUGUGAGACUCAGUCUGCGGCAGCUGCAGCACCAGCAUCCACCACUGCAGAGCCUGCCGUGUUACAUCCAGGAGUGGCGCAGGUCCAGCAUGUGCAGCCCAUCAAGUCAAAGCGGCGCAAAGGUUUGGCUGGCCGCAUCAGGAGCCGGGUACGAAAAAAAUGGAAGUGUAAGAAAAUUUGCCCCAUUGUAAAUGAAGGUAGGGUGGAAAUUAUAUCAUUAAGUUUAUUGAAGCAAAUAAUUUGUUUACUCAUCCAGUUUACAAACUCAGUAAAUGCUAUGUCAUUUAAUGAAUUAAAUCAAUGGAUGAUGCAACUACACAAGUAA
rnacentral:lncRNA from 1 species